rnacentral:tRNA from 1 species
GCCUGGGUGGCUUAAAGGUUAAGCGCUUGGCUAGUAACCAAAAGGUGGGUGGUUCGAAUCUACCCAGAGGCA